UUAACUUUUAAUAACAUACCCAGAAAUAGACUAUGAGCUGGAGCUUUAGUCCUACGGCGGGGGCACCCCGCCGAGGCAACGUUUAGGUAGGUUCACAGGGGGUUAGAGCCAGGGGCACUCGGUAAUGAUCCCUCCGCUGGUUCACCAACGGAGA
rnacentral:misc_RNA from 1 species